CGCCGCAUAGCUCAACGGACAGAGCGGAAGUUUCCUAAACUUCAUAUUCAGGUUCGAUUCCUGAUGCGGUGACCA
rnacentral:tRNA from 1 species